UUCUUACUCCCUCCGUUCGGAAUUACUUGUCACAAAAAUGGAUGUAUCUACAACUAAAAUACAUCUAGAUACAUUCAUUUCUUCGACGAGUAAUUCCAAACGGAGGGAGUAGUUU
rfam:Triticum aestivum genome assembly, contig: Triticum_aestivum_CS42_TGACv1_scaffold_321032_4BL